CAAAAUAUCAGUUUUCCCUGGACACUGCAGAGAAGAGUUGCUUCAAUGGGAUACCCAUUUCUUGUCACAAAUAUAAUGUUAUUUAGUAAUGUUUAUCUACAUAGAUUGCUAUAAACAAUAACAGUGAGGUUAAGGGCCUCUCUGACUGAGUUAUUUUGUCUUAACUGACCAGUUUUAAUCUAUUUGAUUUGGUAUUAUCAUUUACUAUAAAAUUUACAUUAAAAAUCUAUAUAUUCAAAGGGAUUUGUUUACAAUUUAAGAAAACUGCAAUUGCAAACAUAUUUAAAUGCUUUCAACUAUUAAUCCAGGACAGACUAUCUAGUACUAAAGAUACAAGGUAAGAGAAUUGUGAAUAUACACUGGCAAAAGUUGCUACUCAGCAACACAUUCAGCAAGUAGGAAGGAUAAGAGCAAGAUGGCAGUAUGGACAAAGAGAUCCAGAAAUAAGGAAUCAUACAAUCUUUAAAUAUCUUGCCUUUAAAGCAAAAACUUUUUUAAAAACAGCCAUCUUCACAAACUACUUUGUCAACAUCCAAAGGAAUGACACAAUAUUUAUCUUAAGGUUUAUAAAAGGUGCAAAUCUCUGUAGAGGAAAAACAUAAGGCUUAUCUUGAGCUUGUUCAUGUCCAAAUGCUAAGGUCUCUUUCUGAUUUUCAAAAGUGACCCUCAGACUUGAGCUGUUAAAAAUUUCCAAAUGAGCCCAUCUGCUCACCAAGAUAUUUCUAUGUUAAGAACCUUCAGUAAGGCAUCUGGCCCAGUUUUUACAAUCCCAAAUUACCUUGGUUUCAACUUAAUUUUUGUAAACUGGAAGUCCCUUAGGAAGAAAGUAAAAUUUUCAAUCUUUAAAAUAAAGAGACAUAAAAAAUAAAACCCUAUCAUCUUGCUCCAUUUUCAGAUUCCAUAUUCUAAAACUGUACCUGAUUCAUCUCAAUAUAUUAAAAAACAUUAUGUUGCAACACUGAUUUAGAAAUUUAUACACUUUAUCCUUUUGUGUGAGUACAUAAUAUUAUAAUGUAAAAUUAGUACCCUAUAAUUAAAUGCCCUUUUUCUUGGCAUUUCCUCUGAAUGAAUCAUCCUAGGAAGCUUUUCUUUCAUCUUAAUUUGUCUAUUAUUUCCCUGUAUAGAACUACCUUAAUAUGAAGUGGUUAAAAGAAAUGCCUUUAAGACUUAGUUAUGGACCCUACAAUAACUGCUUUUCAAGUAAUUUAAGAUUUUGUUAGUUGAAAAUAAUGGUUAAUGACGACAAUGGCGUAGGGACCACUUACAAUCAUACGAAAAAAAAAUAGCUUUGUAUCUCUUAGUGGGAAAAUUAUCCACACCUUGGAAACAUUCCUAACCUUCUUGGACUAAAGGUUUCCCAUAUCACAAAAUAACUUACUUUGAACACUAUUCACACCUCAAAAUGAAUUAUUGCUGAUGGUUACUUCAGUAUUAUGUGUUUGUUUAUGCGGCUAAGCAAAAUCUUUUCCAUCAGCAUCACUGGAAAUGUAUAGAGGGAAUUAACAAAGAAGCAAAAUUUCUAUUGAGACUUUAACCACAUUUCCAGUAAUGCAACUGGUUUAUUAAAAGUACUCACCCCACCCCCAGAAGAGCAGUAACAACUAUGGUUUCAGAGUAAGAAAUGUUGAAAAGGAAAAAAAAAAAAAAACUAAUCCACUUUUCAGUUGAUUAUGCAUCUCAGUAUUAACUCUAGCUUUAAAAGCAAGAUCUUGCAUCACUUACUCUGGCAGCAAAGACUACGAAAUACUGGUUUCAUGUUACUUAUCAAAUUACCUUUAUAUAGCAAGAGUGGACACCUAAGUUAGAUAAGUUCAGCUAUCCACCCACCAAUGUCAACAAUACUAAAAUUAAUCUCUCCCAUAUCAAAUUAUCAUGAAAAAUUUCUUAAAACUAUAAACCAAUAAAAUAUUAGGACCUUUUCUGAGAAAUAAAACCUUAUUACAUAGUUAUGUGGCCAUUCAUGAGGUGCAUAUGUUUUCAAAUUGAAUGAUUACUACCAAACAAAUGAAAGCAAGUUCAUACUGGAAAAGAGAAGAACUUUCUAAGUGAAUGUAUAGCAAUAUUUUAUUAAUUCUUUCUAGCAGGUAAAACUUUUUUUCCUCCCAAGGUAAAACUUGAUUAUGUUGUUUGGGCUCCUCCUCGUUAUGUCAGGCUUAAAGAAACUAAUUAAAUUACUGAAAAGUAAGGGAAGAUCUUUUAAUAAAUUCUGAAGUGUCAACACAGAUUAGAGUCUUGAUCAUCUAAAGAGUAUAAUAUGUAAUACUCUAUUUACCUAAAUGUUAAUAUUUUUUAAAUGGACACUGAUUUAUACACGUGUGAGCAUGUGCAUACAUGCACGACAUCCCAUUUACUUGUUUCUUUGUAAACUUCGAAUAGAAAAAGCAGCACAUUUAAGAUGGAAAUAUAAAAGGAAAUGAACUUUCUAAGCUUUUCAGAUUACUCCCAGUAUAGCAACUUUCAAAUUACAUAGGAGUUUGUAAAUCUUUAAAGAAAAAUGUGUAGUUUUGUCCAAAACAAAAACAGUGCCUCAUAUUUUUAUGGAAAAAUAAAAUUCUAAUCACUAGAUGAUAGUUAUGGUGCUGCUUAAUGAUGAAGAAUAUUCUACAUAGCGACAUGAGAAUGAAGGUUUUUUUCCUUCAAAAAGUACAUAGUUGCAAAUACUUCAAAAAUUCUAGCGGCCGGGUGCGGUGGCUCAAGCCUGUAAUCCCAGCACUUUGG
rnacentral:lncRNA from 1 species